UACGUAGGGUGCAAGCGUUGUCCGGAAUUACUGGGCGUAAAGGGCGCGUAGGCGGCCCGCUAAGUCGAACGUGAAAUCCCCGGGCUCAAACCCGGGAACUGCGUCCGAUACUGGAAGGCUUGAAUCCGGGAGAGGGAUGCGGAAUUCCAGGUGUAGCGGUGAAAUGCGUAGAUAUCAAAGAGGAACACCUGAGGUGAAGACGGGUUGCUGGGCCGACACUGACGCUGAAGCGCGAAAGCCAGGGGGAGCAAAACGGG
rnacentral:rRNA from 1 species